GGGGAUAAGUAGAGUGGCGCACGGGUGAGUAACACGUAGGUAAUCUACCUUCGGGUGGGGAAUAACCCAGGGAAACUUGGGCUAACACCGCAUAAUGCAGCGGCACCACAUGGUGACAGUUGUUAAAGCGGGGGAUUUUCGGACCUCGCGCCUGAAGAGGAGCCUGCGGCAGAUUAGCUAGUUGGUAGGGUAAUGGCUUACCAAGGCGACGAUCUGUAGCCGGCCUGAGAGGGCGGUCGGCCACACUGACACUGACAUACGGGUCAGACUCCUACGGGAGGCAGCAGUCGGGAAUUUUGGGCAAUGGGCGAAAGCCUGACCCAGCAACGCCGCGUGAAGGAUGAAAUCCCUCGGGAUGUAAACUUCGCAAGAAUGGGAAGAAUUAGUAGGGGUUAAUACCCUCUAUGAUGACGGUACCAUUUGUAAGCUCCGGCUAACUCCGUGCCAGCAGCCGCGGUAAUACGGGGGGAGCAAGCGUUGUUCGGAUUUACUGGGCGUAAAGGGCGCGUAGGCGGCCAGCGCAAGUCAGUUGUGAAAUCUCCGGGCUUAACUCGGAAAGGUCAACUGAUACUGCGCGGCUAGAGUGCAGAAGGGGCAACUGGAAUUCUCGGUGUAGCGGUGAAAUGCGUAGAUAUCGAGAGGAACACCUGCGGCGAGGGCGGGUUGCUGGGCUGACACUGACGCUGAUGCGCGAAAGCCAGGGGAGCGAACGGGAUUAGAUACCCCGGUAGUCCUG
rnacentral:rRNA from 1 species